rnacentral:rRNA from 1 species
UACGUAGGGGCCAAGCGUUGUCCGGAUUUAUUGGGCGUAAAGAGCUCGUAGGCGGUUCGGCAAGUCAGCUGUGAAAUCUCCACGCUCAACGUGGAGGGGUCAGCUGAUACUGCUGUGACUUGAGUCCGGUAGGGGAGUGUGGAAUUCCCGGUGUAGCGGUGAAAUGCGCAGAUAUCGGGAGGAACACCAGUGGCGAAGGCGGCAUCCUGGACCAAUUCUGACGCUGAGGAGCGAAAGCCAGGGGAGCAAACGGG